rnacentral:rRNA from 1 species
AGAGUUUGAUCAUGGCUCAGAACGAACGCUGGCGGCGUGGAUAAGACAUGCAAGUCGAGCGCUGGUUACGAGGUAGCAAUAUUUCGUAAUCGGAGCGGCGUAAGGGUGCGUAACACGUGGGUAAUCUGCCAUGAAGUCUGGAAUAACCCCGAGAAAUCGGGGCUAAUACCGGAUGUGAAAACCGGGAGGCAUCUUUUGGUUUUCAAAGUUGGGGACCGUAAGGCCUGACGCUUCAUGAUGAGCCCGCGGCCUAUCAGCUAGUUGGUGAGGUAACGGCUCACCAAGGCUAAGACGGGUAGCUGGUCUGAGAGGACGACCAGCCACACUGGAACUGAGACACGGUCCAGACACCUACGGGUGGCAGCAGUCGAGAAUUUUUCACAAUGGGCGAAAGCCUGAUGGAGCGACGCCGCGUGGGGGAUGAAUGGCUUCGGCCCGUAAACCCCUGUCAUUCGCGAACAAUGCUCCGGACCUAAUACGUUCGGAGUUGAUAGUAGCGGAAGAGGAAGGGACGGCUAACUCUGUGCCAGCAGCCGCGGUAAUACAGAGGUCCCAAGCGUUGUUCGGAUUCACUGGGCGUAAAGGGUGCGUAGGCGGUCGGAUAAGUCUGAUGUGAAAUCUCCCGAGCUCAACUCGGAAACGGCAUUGGAAACUAUUCGGCUUGAGGUCUGGAGGGGGGACUGGAAUUCUCGGUGUAGCAGUGAAAUGCGUAGAUAUCGAGAGGAACACCAGUGGCGAAGGCGAGUCCCUGGACAGGUCCUGACGCUGAGGCACGAAAGCUAGGGGAGCAAACAGGAUUAGAUACCCUAGUAGUCC